rnacentral:rRNA from 1 species
UACGGGGGGGGGAAGCGUUGUUCGGAAUUACUGGGCGUAAAGGGCUCGUAGGCGGCCAACUAAGUCAGACGUGAAAUCCCUCAGCUUAACUGGGGAACUGCGUCUGAUACUGGAUGGCUUGGAUUUGGGAGAGGGAUGCGGAAUUCCAGGUGUAGCGGUGAAAUGCGUAGAUAUCUGGAGGAACACCGGUGGCGAAGGCGGCAUCCUGGACCAAUAUUGACGCUGAGGAGCGAAAGCUAGGGGAGCAAACGGG